rnacentral:rRNA from 1 species
ACGGUGUCUUCGGACAUAGUGGCGCACGGGUGCGUAACACGUAUGCAACCUACCUUACAUUGGGGGAUAGCCUUCCGAAAGGGAGAUUAAUACCGCAUAAGACAGUAGCUGGGCAUCCAGCAGCUGUUAAAGAUUUAUCGAUGUAAGCUGGGCAUGCGUCCAAUUAGCUAGUUGGUGAGGUAACGGCUCACCAAGGCUUUGAUUGGUAGGGGAACUGAGAGGUCAAUCCCCCACACUGGCACUGAGAUACGGGCCAGACUCCUACGGGAGGCAGCAGUAGGGAAUAUUGGGCAAUGGACGCAAGUCUGACCCAGCCAUGCCGCGUGCAGGAUGAAGGCGUUAUGCGUUGUAAACUGCUUUUAUACAGGAAGAAACGACUCUUGCGAGAGGCAUUGACGGUACUGUAUGAAUAAGCACCGGCUAACUCCGUGCCAGCAGCCGCGGUAAUACGGAGGGUGCAAGCGUUGUCCGGAUUUAUUGGGUUUAAAGGGUGCGCAGGUGGUUUAUUAAGUCAGUGGUGAAAGACGGUCGCUCAACGAUUGCAGUGCCAUUGAAACUGGUAGACUUGAGUAAAGUAGAGGUGGGCGGAAUUGAUAGUGUAGCGGUGAAAUGCAUAGAUAUUAUCAAGAACUCCAAUUGCGUAGGCAGCUCACUUGGCUUUUACUGACACUCAUGCACGAAAGUGUGGGUAUCAAACAGGAUUAGAUACCCUGGUAGUCCACACUGUAAACGAUGAUAACUAGGUGUCGGCCGAAUCUGGUCGGUGCCACAGCGAAAGCGUUAAGUUAUCCACCUGGGGAGUACGC